AUCAUCAUAAAAUCAUAUACACUUUGUAACAUAGCACAUGUUAUACUUUUGCACUUCAAUAAUCAAACAACAAAUUUCCUCUUUUACCAGCCUACUAGUAUCCAUGGGGAUUCAUAGGGGGUCCCCGCUACACGUGAACCAUUAAAAAUUAAUAACUUGAUUCCAAGGCCGUCCCCAUACCCUGUCCGGUAUAGGCGCCAAAACCAUAAAUCUCAAUACCACGUCCGAUAUGAGGGGUGAAACGGGCCGUUCUCAUACCUCGUCCGGUAUGGGCGCCAAAACUAUAAACCUCAAUACCCCGUCCGGUGUGAGGGUGAAACGGGCCGUCCCCAUACCCCGUGCGGUAUGGGCGCCAAAUACAUAAGGUCUCCAU
rnacentral:lncRNA from 1 species